AAGGCCUUAGUUUAAUUAAAAUGUUUGAGUUGCAUUCAGCAGAUGUAAAUUAGAGUUUUGCAGGUCUU
rnacentral:tRNA from 1 species